AUGGCCUGGACUCCUCUGCUCCUCGCGCUCCUCUCUCUCUGCACAGGGUCCCUCUCCCAGCCUGUGCUGACCCAGCCGCCCUCCCUCUCUGCAUCUCCGGGAACCUCAGCCAGACUCACCUGCACCCUGAGCAGUGACUUCAGUGUUGGCGGCUACAACAUAAUCUGGUUCCAACAGAAGCCAGGGAGCCCUCCCCGGUUUCUCCUGAGAUUCUACUCAGAAUUCAUUAAGGACCAGGGCUCCGGGGUCCCCAGCCGCUUCUCUGGAUCCAAAGACGCCUCGGCCAAUGCGGGGCUCCUGCUCAUCUCGGGGCUGCAGCCUGAGGACGAGGCUGACUAUUACUGCGCUGCACCUGUUGGCAAGGCCUCCCAGCAGCCUCUUCCUGGACACAAGGCUGACACCACACAGGAGCCCCUCCCCAUCAGCGGGGACCUGAGCCUCUUUGCCCUGAAGCUCGGGUCUGAGCUGGGGACCUUCUGGGGUGACUUCAGCCUGAACCCCGACGAGGGGACCUGCGUCUCUAUCAGGGCUGCAGCGCCCACGGGUCCCUGGGAACAGCCGCUGUCCACGCCCCUCAGUGCUGAACUCUGA